GAUGAACGCUAGCUACAGGCUUAACACAUGCAAGUCGAGGGGAAACGACAUCGAAAGCUUGCUUUUGAUGGGCGUCGACCGGCGCACGGGUGAGUAACGCGUAUCCAACCUGCCCACCACUUGGGGAUAACCUUGCGAAAGUAAGACUAAUACCUAAUGAUAUCUCUAGAAGACAUCUGAAGGAGAUUAAAGAUUUAUCGGUGAUGGAUGGGGAUGCGUCCGAUUAGCUUGACGGCGGGGUAAUGGCCCACCGUGGCGACGAUCGGUAGGGGUUCUGAGAGGAAGGUCCCCCACAUUGGAACUGAGACACGGUCCAAACUCCUACGGGAGGCAGCAGUGAGGAAUAUUGGCCAAUGGGCGAGAGCCUGAACCAGCCAAGUAGCGUGCAGGAAGACGGCCCUAUGGGUUGUAAACUGCUUUUGUACGGGAAUAAAGUUGGCCACGUGUGACCAUUUGCAUGUACCGUACGAAUAAGGACCGGCUAAUUCCGUGCCAGCAGCCGCGGUAAAAGGG
rnacentral:rRNA from 1 species